rnacentral:rRNA from 1 species
GGGGGGGGGGGGGGGGGGGGGGGGGGGGGGGGGGGGGGGGGGGGGCGGGGUAGGGUGAGGGGUGGGGGACGGGUGAGUAAUGUAGCGGGGGGUGCGCAGGCGUGGGGGAUAGCGGCGCGAAGGGGCGGCUAAUGGCGCAUACGCCCUGAGGGUGAAAGCGGGGGAUCGCACGACCUCGCGCGCUCGGAACGGCCGAGAUCAGAUUAGGUAGUUGGUGAGGUAAAGGCUCACCAAGCCGACGAUCUGUAGCUGGUCUGAGAGGACGACCAGCCACACUGGGACUGAGACACGGCCCAGACUCCUACGGGAGGCAGCAGUGGGGAAUUUUGGACAAUGGGCGCAAGCCUGAUCCAGCCAUGCCGCGUGCGGGAAGAAGGCCUUCGGGUUGUAAACCGCUUUUGUCAGGGAAGAAAAGGUUCUGGCUAAUACCUGGGACUCAUGACGGUACCUGAAGAAUAAGCACCGGCUAACUACGUG